GCAUUUAGCAAGGGGAAGGACUAUUAUUCCAAGGUUGGAAAGGCGUGGAAGCGCGGCUAUCUUCUUUACGGUCCGCCAGGAACUGGAAAAUCAACUAUGAUUGCAGCUAUCGCGAAUUUCUUGAACUAUGAUAUUUAUGAUCUUGAGCUCACCUCUGUUAAGGAUAACUCAGGGCUUAAGAAGUUGCUCAUGGAAACAACGAGCAAGUCCAUCAUUGUCAUUGAAGAUAUUGAUUGUUCUAUUGAUCUCACUGGCAAAAGAAAGAAGAAAAAGAAAAAGGAAAAGGAAACAACCAGCGAGGAUAAGGAAGAAGAUUCGGACAAUGAAAAAGAAAAAGAAGAUGAAAAGAAGGAUACUGGGAAACUCACACUUUCGGGGCUGUUGAAUUUCAUCGAUGGAAUAUGGUCAGCUUGUGGUCAAGAAAGGAUUAUUAUAUUUACCACAAAUCACAAGGACAAACUUGAUCCAGCUUUAAUUAGGCGUGGGCGUAUGGAUAUGCACAUUGAGAUGUCUUAUUGCAGAUAUGAAGCAUUCAAAGUGUUGGCUAAGAAUUACUUGAAUUUGGAAACACACCCUUUGUUUCAACAGAUUCAAGGUUUACUAGAGGAAGUAGACAUGAGUCCUUGUGAUGUGGCUGAGAAUUUGAUGCUCAAGAAUGCUUCAGGAGGGCCUCAAAUUUGCUUGGAUAACUUAAUUCAAGCUUUGAAAGAAGCCAAGAUGAAGGCAAAUAAAGAUUCAAAGCAAGACAAGGAUAAAGCCAAGAAGAAUUCCAAGAAAAUUAAGAAGUUGUCCUCAAAAUUAUUCCGAAGUUAUGGCAGCGUACAAAAGUUGUUCAAGUGAUGUUUUCAUGUACUAUCUUUUAUAACUUCAAUUGCCCAAUUUUCUCUCUCUUUUUGGUGGCCACGGGGAUGGGGCUUCUCCAUGUAUAGUCUUGAAUUAUUGUAAUCAGAAGUAAGAUGAUGUUUGCUAAUUGAGGCAUUAGCAACUGCAAGGAGUUAUUAGUGUACUACUCAUGUUUUUUUUUUUAAUCUUCAUCAGUUGGUUUAUGUCAAGAACUUGCAGUCCAACCUCAAACCAAGAAGACCUACAAAAGCUUUUGCAAGCUCCUUCUUUACCAUCAGAUCAAUAACACAUUUCAUUUAGGAGUUCCCUUACCGGAUUUCCGUAAACUCUCACCGUAUACAUACACUAAAUAAGCCCCUGGCAACCCUUAAUUGAAAUCUGUAGGCAUCAUAUUCUGUUUGACUUAAUUAGUAACAAAUUCAUUGCUCAUCUCCGGUGGACGUAUGUUGGUCUAGGGACUGGAAAAAUAGUUCAAAUAAUGUUUUAGGGAAAUAAUAUAGCUUAAUCUCUUCCUGUCCACACUAAUUAAACCAAAUAACUUAAUCUUAUGAAUCAUAUAAAAGUUUAAACACAAAACAAAUAUUUUAUACGAUCAAUGGUCAAUAUAGCUUAUCAGUUUGGACUUUGGAGGCAAAAUAUAAUGUGACAAAUUAUUAAAACUUCUUUUUGACCCAGUCAUCUAGAAAUUCCCAGAAGGUUCUUUUAACAAUUCCUUUUAAGCACUUUGCACUUAUAUAUCCAAAGUCACAUAUGUUAUACCAGUGAAACGGCCCGUGCUAAUAAUAAUUAACAUUGUAAAAAUUAAAAUUAUUAAUAUAUUUUAUUAAAAUAAAAUUUAAAAUAAAUAUAGAGAAAAUAUUCUUUGUCUAUUUUUUGUUGUACAAAUAUAUACAAACAUAGUUUUAUUGAUGUUUUAAAUAAAUUUUAAAUUCUCGAUUAUUUAGAAAUAUAAUAAGUAUUGUAAAAAGAUGUUUUUCAAUCUUACAGUUGAUUAGAGGAAUGUUAUGGAAUUUUUAGAAAUUAAAGGAACACCAAUCAUUAGUUUUUUUAAAUUAAAAUCAUAGAUUCAGUAGGUUUUUAAUUUUAGAAAAAUAAAUCGAGAAAAUAUCAAAUCAAUUGAAUAAAUUAUAUGAGUAAAACACAUUUUAUAUAUUAAGUUUAAAAAACAAAACAUUAAAAUUUUUGCUUAGUUUUGAGGUGAUUAAUACAAGACAACAAGUAAUUAACUCCCACAGUUUUAAUUACAAAACCUAUUAACUCAUAGGAUUAGCAUGCUUAAUCAAAUACCAAUAAUGUGUUUUACAUAUACAAAAAAUAACUAACUAUUACGCGCUAUUUAAUAAUAAAUUAUGUUUACUCCUCACAUAAGUAAAACCAUGUUAGGGCUUUCUCUCUUUUUUUUUUUUUUUGGUAUAUGUUGACUUGAUAUAAAUCUAAAGAAAAUAUUCAUUAGAAAUUUAUUUUACUAAAUUAACAUUAUUAAUUGUAUGUUGAAAGUUUAAAUUUGGCUAAAUAAUAUUUCAUAUAAUGAACGAGGAAAACAAGAAAAUUAUUUUUUUGAUAUGAAAUAUAAAUAAAGAAUAAAAUUUAUUUAAUUUUACUAAUUAUAAUUAAUUUUCUUAAGUUAUCAUCUUAUUAAAUAAUUUGCUUAAAUAUAAUGAUUUUAAACAAUUUUAUAUAAACCAAAACAAAAGAAAAAGAGAAAUAGAAAUGGUAAAUAAAUUCAAAAUAGCGGGCCCAGGUGUGCCUACUUUUUUGAAAUGAAAAUAGAAGGCUAAUAUUCCACGUGUUUGGUUAAUUAAUGGGUCCGAUUAUUAUAUCUUAAAUAAUAUUUCUUGUAUGGCAUAGUCUAUAAUUAAAUAGGAAAGAAUUUGAUCUUUUUAAAUAGACGUUUGUCAAUAAUUUUUUUUUUAAAAAAAAUUAUUUUACUUUAGUGAAAAAAGUGAAAAUAAAAUGCGUUUGAUCAUGAAAAUUUUAAAUAUAAUUCCGAAAUUAUAUUUGAAAAAGUAAAAAUAAGUUUGUUUUCACUUUUUUCACUCAUGCUUCCCUCACAAAAUUUCAAAAAUAACUUUAAUUUAUAUUAAUGAUUAAAAAACAACUCCAACUUCAACUUCAAAAAAUUAUGAUUAUCAUGGUCAAACGAGGCCUAAAAACUCUUGAUGAGGUCCAAAUAAUAAAUCACAAAAAAACAACCAAUUUGAUCGUCCAAUCUUCUUUAAAGAUGUUAAUACCUUCAAACCAUUUAUUUAAUGACAAAAAAUUGACAUGUCGAAACUAUCGCUUUUAAUAUAUAAAAAUCUAAUUUCUCAUGGUCUUGCCAACUAUUUGUAUCGUUGAUUUAUGUAAACGUCUUUUGGUCAAUUAAACAGUUAUACAACAUAUCUUAUUUAACCAUUCCAUCGGUGAUCGACUUGUUCUAUAUAAUAUAGUCAGUCCGACGCAACAAAGUUUCCGCUAUAUGUGCGGUUUGACCGUUUGGGCUGUUUUACAUAAUACAUGUUAUAGGAUCUCUUGUUCAAGUUAUAAUUAUUUUCCUAAGCUUCACAAAAUAUUUCGGACACUCUGCAAAAUGAAUUAACUUUUUUUGUUUCUUGUUUUACUGAUGUUCAUUUGGAUAUUUGGUUGAAGGUAUCAGGAAAAUUUGUUUCAAUAUGAAUUUCCACAGAAGAUAGAUAAUACAGUGUUUAGUUGAGCAGAUACAGAAGGAAAGGAAACUACUAGUAUAGAAAUUAUACAAAGAACUAAGUGCUCUUUUCUUGUAUAAGUAUUUUGUUUAUCACUGGUAAUUUCUCGAGUAGUUCUUAUUAAAUAAAUAUAAAAAAAAUUCACAUAACUAAUAUGUGUGCCAAUAGAAGCGCACUUGAAUUUACAAUUAAAAAAAGGUAUUAAAGCUUACCUAUGAAGUUUCCAACGUAACCCUACAGGCUACAAACGUUACAAAUGCUGUAAUUUACUCUCCCUCCCAUUUUAGUCGUUCAAUUUGAUAUUAUACAUUGGUUAAGAAAAAUAAUUAAUAACAUGUUACUUUAUUAUAGUAUUUCUAUUAAAUUAUAUUUACAUUUUAAUUUAGAUAAAAAAUAAUUAAUACUAAGCAUAAAAAAGAAAAUAAUUAUUUUAUCUCGAUUAAUGAAAAAUGAUAAGUAAAAUGAGAAAUCAAAUUAAAAAAUUUGAGAUGAGUAAAAUAGGAAAGAGGAAGUAUGUACCAACGCGACCCUACAAAAGAAUAAACCCAGUGCCUCAUUAGAGAUUGCAUUACUGUUUUUUGCCUUUCUAGUGAUUUUUUUUUGUUUUAUCAUUCGGUGUUUGAUGCUUGCAUUGGAACUCCGACUAAUUUGGAUCGCGCAUUGCAAGGCCCCUUAAGGUGGCAGCGAUUCCAACAGAAUUUUCUCCAUACCCUAUUAAAAAUGAAGCAUCCUUAGUCACUACGCCACAACCCAUAUUGGUGCUUUCGAGUGAUUUGUUACUCGAAUUACAAAAGACAUACCACUUACUAAGCAUUGAAACAGGGAAACAGAGUAAUGUGAAAAGUCUAAAUGAGAAAAGUAAUAAGCCUAUAAAAAUCUAAAUUCGACAAAUUGAUAAAACAACUUUACAUUUGUUUUUCAACACAGUGAUUAGUCAAAUAAUGCAGUUUGUAUGACGCAAAUUGCAAUACAAGUCUCCCGCGGACCUCCGUUUCAUUUUACUUGUACCCCUACUAAGUUUAUUUAUAUUUCAAGUUACUUGAUCAUUUUUGCAUAUUGAGUUCCAAACAUCGCUAGUAACAUUAGUUUAGGAAGAGAUAUACUUAGUAUUAGUAUUUUCUUAAAAGAGUGUUUUGAGCUGACCAAGUAAAAUAAAAGUAAGGAAGAAUUAGCUAUUCAGUCCGUAGUCCGUACAGAAGUCAAAGCUCUACGGCCGCGUUGAACCAGCCUAUUUUCUUGCGCUACAAGGCGCAUCCACAGCUUCUAGAGUAAAUCUUAGGCCUAUUUGUUUUGAUAUAUAUAUAUAUACAAGCACCCCUUCAAAUUAAAAAAUGCACUCCACUUCCCAUUCCCAUUUCCAUUUCUCAUCCUCAUUCACACUCUUCAUAAAAUAAUACCUCAAGUCAAGAAAAGGAACGCGUACAUUGGGAGCAGUGGCAGAACUUAUAGUAAUGGGGUUCAAAAUCGAAAAAAGUAAUCACACGAACUAGCUGAAGUGACUUUAACAACAAUUAUAUAUAUAUAAAAAAUAAUUUUAACCUUGUAUAAGUAGCAUAAUUUUCCAUGAAAGGGGGUUCGGACUCCGAGGAGAGGUUAAAAAAAAAGAUCUACCAUGGGAGCAUCAUUGACUGAAGCGUGGUCCAAGCUUGCUGGAGUGAUGUUCAUUUGGGGAACAAUUCAGCAGUUUUUCCCCUAUGAACUCUGCUAUCGCAUCAACUCCUUGUGGCACAGAGUGGAAAAUUACUUCUAUCCUUAUGUCAAAAUUACAAUUGAUGAAUUCUCCAAUGGUAAAAGCAACGAAAUUUACAGACAUGUCGACAGUUAUUUAGGUACCAAGUCUGUCGACAAGGAUGCUAAGUUUCUCAAAGUUGAAAAGUCCGAGGAGAACAAGUGUUUUGCUGUUAGUUUGGAUGAAGGUGAAGAAAUUGCUGAUGAAUUUCAAGGGGCUAAACUCUCUUGGCGCUCUCACAAGGAAACAUUGUCCGAUGAUUCUACAAGUCAUCGGCGUUACACAAUAACUUUCAAUAAACGACAUAGAGAAAUUGUUAUUGGAAAAUACUUGAAGCAUGUGAUGGAAGAAGGCAAGGCAAUUCAGUUCCAGAACAGGAAACAGAAGAUUUACUCCAACAAUUGUAGUGAGGAUUGGCAUUGGUCCGGUAAAGGCAUGUGGAGGGACAUCAAUUUUGUGCACCCUGCAACAUUUGAUACUCUGGCUAUGGACCCUAAGAAGAAGGAGGAGAUAAUCAAUGACCUCAUGGCUUUUACCAAGGGGAAGGACUAUUAUUCCAAGGUUGGCAAGGCGUGGAAGCGCGGCUAUCUUCUUUACGGUCCACCAGGAACUGGAAAAUCAACUAUGAUUGCAGCUAUCGCGAAUUUCUUGAACUAUGAUAUUUAUGAUCUUGAGCUCACCUCUGUUAAGGAUAACUCAGGGCUUACGAAAUUGCUCAUGGAAACAACGAGCAAGUCCAUCAUUGUCAUUGAAGACAUUGAUUGCUCCGCUGAUCUCACUAGCAAGAGAAAGGAGGAGAAAAAGAAGAAGAAAGAUGAAACAAGCGAUU
rnacentral:lncRNA from 1 species